AAUGCCCCUAUGUUCUAGGUGUGGCUGCUGUGUCACGUGUGUAUCAGUAAGUAGCAGAGAGGAAAGAAGCUAUGUCUAAGCUCAGUGUUCUGACCUAUGAGCAUCUGAAUGAUCAGCGGCCUAACUUU